AUGCCUAACACAUGCAAGUCGAACGGGGGUAGCAAUACCCUAGUAGGCGAACGGGUGAGUAACACAUAAGCAAUCUGCCCUUCGACAGGGGGAGUAACAGCGGGAAACUGCUGCUAAUACCGCAUAAGACCACAGUACCGCAUGGUACAGGGGUAAAAACGAAUCAGUGGUGAGGGAUGAGCUUAUGUCCCAUUAGCUAGUUGGUGAGAUAACAGCCCACCAAGGCGACGAUGGGUAGCCGACCUGAGAGGGUGAUCGGCCACACUGGAACUGAGACACGGUCCAGACUCCUACGGGAGGCAGCAGUGGGGAAUAUUGGGCAAUGGAAGGAAACUCUUACCCAGCAAUGCCGCGUGAGUGAAGAAGGUCUUCGGAUUGUAAAGCUCUUUGAUUGGGGACGAAGAAAGUGACGGUACCCAAAGAACAAGCCCCGGCUAACUACGUGCCAGCCGCCGC
rnacentral:rRNA from 1 species